rnacentral:rRNA from 1 species
CCUACGGGUGGCAGCAGUGAGGAAUAUUGGUCAAUGGGCGCGAGCCUGAACCAGCCAAGUCGCGUGAGGGAUGACGGUCCUACGGAUUGUAAACCUCUUUUGCCGGGGAGCAAGCGUGCGUUCGUGAACGCGCGUCGAGAGUACCCGGAGAAAAAGCAUCGGCUAACUCCGUGCCAGCAGCCGCGGUAAUACGGGGGGUGCAAGCGUUGUCCGGAAUCAUUGGGCGUAAAGAGUUCGUAGGUGGCACGUUAAGUCUGGUGUUAAAGGCGGAAGCUCAACUUCCGUAGGGCACUGGAUACUGGCGAGCUUGAAUGCGGUAGAGGUAAAGGGAAUUCCUGGUGUAGCGGUGAAAUGCGUAGAUAUCAGGAGGAACAUCGGUGGCGUAAGCGCUUUACUGGGCCGUAAUUGACACUGAGGAACGAAAGCCGGGGUAGCAAAUGGGAUUAGAUACCCCAGUAGUC